GAUCAUGGCUCAGGAUGAACGCUAGCGGCAGGCUAACACAUGCAAGUCGAGGGGCAGCGGGAUGUAGCAAUACAUUGCCGGCGACCGGCGGAUGGGUGCGUAACGCGUAUGCAACCUACCUUAUACAGGGGAAUAACCUUUCGAAAGGGAGACUAACACCCCAUAGUAUUGAUUUAAGGCAUCUUAGAUUAAUUAAAUAUUUAUAGGUAUAAGAUGGGCAUGCGUAUGAUUAGCUAGUUGGUAAGGUAACGGCUUACCAAGGCGACGAUCAUUAGGGGUUCUGAGAGGAAGGUCCCCCCACACUGGUACUGAGACACGGACCAGACUCCUACGGGAGGCAGCAGUGAGGAAUAUUGGUCAAUGGGCGCAAGCCUGAACCAGCCAUGCCGCGUGCAGGAAAAGACGGCCUUAUGGGUUGUAAACUGCUUUUACAUAAGACUAACCGUAUAUUUGCGAAUAUACCUGAAUGUAUUAUGAGAAUAAGGAUCGGCUAACUCCGUGCCAGCCGCAGC
rnacentral:rRNA from 1 species